rnacentral:rRNA from 1 species
UACGUAGGGUGCAAGCGUUGUCCGGAAUUAUUGGGCGUAAAGAGCUCGUAGGCGGUUUGUCGCGUCUGCUGUGAAAACCCGAGGCUCAACCUCGGGCCUGCAGUGGGUACGGGCAGACUAGAGUGCGGUAGGGGAGACUGGAAUUCCUGGUGUAGCGGUGAAAUGCGCAGAUAUCAGGAGGAACACCGAUGGCGAAGGCAGAUCUCUGGGCCGUAACUGACGCUGAGGAGCGAAAGCAUGGGGAGCGAACAGG